UACGUAGGGGGCGAGCGUUGUCCGGAUUUACUGGGCGUAAAACGCUUGUGGGUGGCCACGCCAAGUCGGACGUGAAAUCUCCCGGCUUAACUGGGAGGGGUCGUUCGAUACUGGCGGGCUCGAGGCAGGUAGGGGGAAGCGGAAUUCCCGGUGUAGUGGUGGAAUGCGUAGAUAUCGGGAGGAACACCAGUGGCGAAGGCGGCUUCCUGGACCUGUUCUGACACUGAGGAGCGAAAGCGUGGGGAGCGAUCCGG
rnacentral:rRNA from 1 species